GGAAAUAGCCCAGCACUGAAUCCCGCGGUUGUCACGGCCGCGGGAGAUGUGGUGUUCGGGAGGUUCCGCUUUCUCGUCGUCGCGUCUCCUGUCCAAGUUCGUCUUGAACGGGGCCGUUUUCCCGUAGAGGGUGCCAGGCCCGUAGCGACGGAGGGCGGCGGCGAGAGGGACUCUCCUCAGAGUCGGGUUGCUUGAGAGUGCAGCCCUAAGUGGGUGGUAAACUCCAUCUAAGGCUAAAAUUUACCGCAAGAC
rnacentral:rRNA from 1 species